rnacentral:tRNA from 1 species
ACCCGCGUGGCGCAAUAGGAUGCGUGUCACUUUCCUAAAGUGAAGGAUGUGAGUUCGAGUCUCAUCGCGGGUA